UGGGGAAUUUUGGACAAUGGGCGAAAGCCUGAUCCAGCAAUGCCGCGUGUGUGAAGAAGGCCUUCGGGUUGUAAAGCACUUUUGUCCGGAAAGAAAUCCUUGGCUCUAAUACAGUCGGGGGAUGACGGUACCGGAAGAAUAAGCACCGGCUAACUACGUGCCAGCAGCCGCGGUAAUACGUAGGGUGCAAGCGUUAAUCGGAAUUACUGGGCGUAAAGCGUGCGCAGGCGGUUUGCUAAGACCGAUGUGAAAUCCCCGGGCUCAACCUGGGAACUGCAUUGGUGACUGGCAGGCUAGAGUAUGGCAGAGGGGGGUAGAAUUCCACGUGUAGCAGUGAAAUGCGUAGAGAUGUGGAGGAAUACCGAUGGCGAAGGCAGCCCCCUGGGCCAAUACUGACGCUCAUGCACGAAAGCGUGGGGAGCAAACAGGAUUAGAUACCCCUGGUAGUCCACGCCCUAAACGAUGUCAACUAGUUGUUGGGGGAUUCAUUUCCUUAGUAACGUAGCUAACGCGUGAAGUUGACCGCCUGGGGAGUACGGUCGCAAGAUUAAAACUCAAAGGAAUUGACGGGGUCAUAGCUG
rnacentral:rRNA from 1 species